rnacentral:rRNA from 1 species
AGGACGAACGCUGGCGGCGUGCUUAACACAUGCAAGUCGAACGGUGAAGGAGAGCUUGCUCUCCGGAUCAGUGGCGAACGGGUGAGUAACACGUGAGUAACCUGCCCUUGACUCUGGGAUAAGCGUUGGAAACGACGUCUAAUACCGGAUACGAGCUUCAGCCGCAUGGCUAGGAGCUGGAAAGAAUUUCGGCAAGGAUGGACUCGCGGCCUAUCAGCUAGUUGGUGAGGUAAUGGCUCACCAAGGCGACGACGGGUAGCCGGCCUGAGAGGGUGACCGGCCACACUGGGACUGAGACACGGCCCAGACUCUACGGGAGCAGCAGUGGGAUAUUGCACAAUGGGCGCAAGCCUGAUGCAGCAACGCCGCGUGGGGGACGAA